CUUGAUGGUGAUGGAAACACACGGAGAAGUGUGAGAAAACGACACGGAGCGGUUUUAAAAGUGUUUUUUAUGUUUAGUUACCCCGUUGAAGAGGCACAAGAAAUGCUCCGAGAGCCAGUGUGAGAGGCAGAGGGGGGCGGCAGUUUCUUCUCCAGCAUUGCACCAACAACCCAAUUACUGUCCACCGUACCUGCAAAAGGAGAAAUGAUCCUAAAUGCACACAGCCUGCAUGAGCUGCUCCCUCACUGAGAGACAGGAGGGGAGGGGUUGGCUCAGCAGAGGGGGCCCAGUCAGGAAAUUUGCGACAGCAAGUUGUCACUGCAACGUGUUAGUUCUCUGGGCUCUUUGUGUCAAAUUUGUUGGCCCUCGGGGGGGCCCUGGUGGCUUAGGGGGCCCCAGGCAGCUGCUUGCUUUGCCUAAUGGCAAGCUACGCCUCUGGUGA
rnacentral:lncRNA from 1 species